rnacentral:rRNA from 1 species
UACGUAGGCAGCGAGCGUUGUUCGGAGUUACUGGGCGUAAAGGGCGUGUAGGCGGUUGUUUAAGUUUGGUGUGAAAUCUCCCGGCUCAACUGGGAGGGUGCGCCGAAUACUGAAUGACUUGGAGUGCGGGAGAGGAGAGUGGAAUUCCUGGUGUAGCGGUGAAAUGCGUAGAUAUCAGGAGGAACACCGGUGGUGUAGACGGCUCUCUGGACCGUAACUGACGCUGAAACACGAAAGCGUGGGUAGCAAACAGG